GAGACUGGAGUGGGAAGGGAGGGAUAAGGGGCAGGAUGGAGGCCCCACUCCCCGAGGUUGCCUAGACAACAUCAGAAAUCGUGGCCAGGGCCUCUUCCGCCUGCGGGGCGCUGCUUCCUGCAUCAGUCACUCCCGCUGGGGGCGGGGCGGAGGAAGGGGUUGGAUGUGGGAGAGCUUGGCCCCAGCUGGUGAGGUUCCUCCGCUGUCGCCUUGGCCCCAGCCAUGGCAUCCUAUCCUGGCCCAGGCAAGUCCAAGGCCAAAUAUCCCUUUAAGAAGCGGGCCAGCCUGCAAGCUUCCGCUGCCGCUCCAGAAGCUCGAAGUGGUCUGGGGGCCUCUCCACUGCAGUCUGCCCGAUCCCUGCCAGGCACCGCCCCCUGCCUUAAGCAUUUCCCGCUCGACCUUCGCACGUCUAUGGAUGGCAAAUGCAAGGAGAUCGCUGAGGAGUUGUUCAGCCGCUCACUGGCUGAGAGUGAGCUCCGUAGCGCCCCUUAUGAGUUCCCGGAGGAAAGCCCCAUCGAGCAGCUAGAGGAGCGGAGGCAGCGGCUGGAGCGCCAGAUCAGCCAGGAUGUCAAGUGAGUCUAUUACUGUCCCUUCCCUGUCCCCUCUCCUGUUGUCUCUUUGAGGUCUGCCUGGAAGGCAGCAUAGAGCACAUUCUUGGGAACCAGACUACUGCUGGAUCCAUCUUCCUGUAGGCUCUGAGUCUACUGGAUAACUUACUUCUGGAGCUGUUUUCUCAUCUCUGAAGUGGGGUGAGAACAGCCCAGGGUGUACAAGC
rnacentral:lncRNA from 1 species